UACGUAGGCGGUUUAUUAAGUCAGAUGUGAAAGCCCCGGGCUUAACCUGGGAACUGCAUCUGAUACUGGUAAACUAGAGUAUGGUAGAGGGGGUAGAAUUCCUAGUGUAGCGGUGAAAUGCGUAGAUAUUAGGAGGAAUACCAGUGGCGAAGGCGGCCCCCUGGACCAAUACUGACGCUGAGGUACGAAAGCGUGGGUAGCGAACA
rnacentral:rRNA from 1 species